UACGGAGGAUCCGAGCGUUAUCCGGAUUUAUUGGGUUUAAAGGGAGCGUAGGUGGAUUGUCAAGUCAGUUGUGAAAGUUUGCGGCUCAACCGUAAAAUUGCAGUUGAAACUGGCAGUCUUGAGUACAGUAGAGGUGGGCGGAAUUCGUGGUGUAGCGGUGAAAUGCUUAGAUAUCACGAAGAACUCCGAUUGCGAAGGCAGCUCACUGGACUGCAACUGACACUGAGGCUCGAAAGUGUGGGUAUCAAACAGG
rnacentral:rRNA from 1 species